rnacentral:rRNA from 1 species
UACGAAGGGGGCUAGCGUUGUUCGGAAUCACUGGGCGUAAAGGGUGCGUAGGCGGGUUCAUAAGUCAGGGGUGAAAUCCCGAGGCUCAACCUCGGAACGGCCUUUGAUACUGUGGAUCUUGAGUCCGGAAGAGGUGAGUGGAACUGCGAGUGUAGAGGUGAAAUUCGUAGAUAUUCGCAAGAACACCAGUGGCGAAGGCGGCUCACUGGUCCGGAACUGACGCUCAUGCACGACAGCGUGGGGAGCAAACAGG